UACGGAGGAUCCGAGCGUUAUCCGGAUUUAUUGGGUUUAAAGGUGCGUAGGCGGCCUAUUAAGUCAGGGGUGAAAGACGGUAGCUUAACUAUCGCAGUGCCUUUGAUACUGAUAGGCUUGAAUGUACUUGAGGUAGGCGGAAUGUGACAAGUAGCGGUGAAAUGCAUAGAUAUGUCACAGAACACCAAUUGCGAAGGCAGCUUACUAAAGUAUGAUUGACGCUGAGGCACGAAAAGCGUGGGGGAUCAAAACAGGA
rnacentral:rRNA from 1 species